rnacentral:rRNA from 1 species
GAUGAACGCUUGCGGCGUGCCUAAUACAUGCAAGUCGAUCGAACAGAUAAGGAGCUUGCUCCUUUGACGUUAGCGGCGGACGGGUGAGUAACACGUGGUUAACCUACCUAUAAGACUGGAAUAACUCCGGGACACCGGAGCUAAUGCCGGAUAACAUGUUUACCCGCAUGGUUCUCCAGUUAACGUCGGCUUUUCUGUCACUUAUAGAUGGACUCGCGCCGUAUUAGCUAGUUGUUGAGGUAACGGCUCACAAAGGCAACGAUACGUAGCCGACCUGAGAGGGUGAACGGACACACUGGAACUGAGACACGGUCCAGACUCAUACGGGAGGCAGCAGUAGGGAAUCUGAAGCAAUGGGCGAAAGCCGGACGGAGCAAGGCCGAGUGAGUGAUGAAGGGCUUCGGAUCGUAAAACACUGUUAUUAGGGAAGAACAAAUGCGUAAGGAACAGUGCGCGUAUUGACGGUAACUAAUCAGAAAGCAAAGGAGAACUAAGUG